rnacentral:rRNA from 1 species
GGGAAUCUUCCACAAUGGGCGCAAGCCUGAUGGAGCAACGCCGCGUGUGUGAUGAAGCGCUUUCGGGUCGUAAAGCACUGUUGUAUGGGAAGAAAUGCUAAAAUAGGGAAUGAUUUUAGUUUGACGGUACCUUACCAGAAAGGGACGGCUAAAUACGUGCCAGCAGCCGCGGUAAUACG